ensembl:lincRNA
AAAUCUUAUACUGGGGGUGGUGGUGAAGGCCUUUAGCCAGCACUCAGGAGGCAGAGGUGGCCAAAUUUCUGUGAGCUGGAGGCCAGCAGGGUAGACUCAGAGCUUCCCUUCAGCAGAGGGGAGACAAGUUAACAGGGACUCAGUACGGCGCAUACUUCGAGAGCACAGAGGACAAACAACUGGCUCAGGCAGGAAUCUGUGGCCAUACAGAGAACAGGGAGUCCUGUUCAUCUGACUGCAGGCUCAGGCUAGGGUACCCUGCAUACCGGUCAAGAGAUUCUAACCGCUAAAACCAAUUCCUUUGGUAUUUGUUCAGAAGUGGUACCUACAGACCAUCCCCAUCAACUACAGUAGAAAAGAAACUGGAAGAAUAGACGGUGACUCAGCCACCAGCCAUUUCAGAAGAGGAUCAGGGGUGAGCCUGUGGCACAAGACCAAAGCCCUAAGAACACAGGGGCCUGGAAGUCUGGCUUACUCAAUAGCUGCACACAUUCCUCUGGCUUCCCCUGACAUUUUUCAGUCCCUAAGACACUUGGAAACAUGAGUCCCCAAGCACUCUGUGCUGGCUGGCUUGUUAACAUGACACAAGCUAGAGUAAACCAGAGGGACGCUAAAUUAAGAAAAUGCCUCCUCCAUAAGACUGAGCUACAGGCAAGCCUGGAGGGCAUUUUCUUACUUUGUGACUGAUGUGGGAAGGGCCUAGGCUACUGUGGGUGGUCCCACCCCUGGGCUGGUUGUCUGUAUAAGAAAGCAGGCUGAGCCAGGCAGUGGUGGUGCACGCCUUUAAUCCCAGCACUCGGGAGGCAGAGGCAGGCGGAUUUCUGAGUUCGAGGCCAGCCUGGUCUACAGAGUGAGUUCCAGGACAGCCAGGGCUACACAGAGAAACCCUGUCUCGGAAAACAAAACAAAACAAAACCAACAAAAAAAGAAAGCAGGCUGAGCGAGCCGUGAGGAGCAACCGAGUGAGUGGCACUCCUCUGUGAGCCUCUGAGCCUGCGCCAGCUCUUCCCUCCAGGUCCCUGGCCUGCUGGAGCUCUGGCCUCCUUUGAUGAUGAACAGUGAUGUACAGAGGAAGUCGGAUAACCCCUUCCUCCCCAGGCUGCUUUGCUCAUGCGUCUCACCACAGCAGAGUAAACCUGAAUACGACAAGCUCCAUCCACUCACUCACUGUAGGCGACCCUCUUGUCUAUUCAAAGCCCUAGGAACUACAAUCCACCGUCCACCGAUCACACCCAAGGUCACUCCCGACCUCCCCAGGACUGGGGAAGCAAGCGGCAGGCUCAGUGUAGAGUCCCUGCAGCCCAGGAGAUGUGGGGCUGCAGUGCAAUCCGAUGUUCACAAGUUGCUCUGGGAUGGCACUUUUCCUUCUCAUGCUGGGAUUCUCAUUGUUGCUGCAUCACAAGAAAGGAGUCACUCUCCAUUUACCACGCUACUCAAAAUGUUCCUGGCUUCUAGACAGAAAUCAAGGGGCCUGAAUCUUUUUUAAAAGCCUUUUCUUACCCAUAGAGUCUCAAAACUAGGAUUCAAGAAAUAGAUAAGGCCUGUUCUUCAUAUACCAAGCACAUACAUAAUAAAUAAAUAAAUCUUUAAAAAAAAAAAAAAGCUUAAAAAAAAAAAAAAAAAGACAAGAAUCCUCCAGGUGAAGAAACUUGUCAAACUGCACAGCCCGCAUAGUCAUAAUUUAAAACGAACCCACCUAGCUCCAAAAGCACUCUCCCCACAGCCCACAGCACUCCACCCGAAAUAUGGUCAACGGAUUGCACUCCCCACAGACUGAGCACUGGAAAAGAGACUCCAACAACAUUCUAGAGCCUUACAGGGAGGAGGAGAACAGGGAAGGCAGGUGAGGGCCAGGCAUGUGUGGAUGUCUACAAUCCAGGUAUUUAGGGAACAGAGGCUCAAGAUGGCUCACUGUGGGCUACACAGCAAGACCCUGGUCUCAUAGAAGUGUCAAAGAAGUUAUUCCUAGCGGAUGGAAACUCGUGGACUGGGUACAGUGUAAAGGCCACGAAUGAUGGCCCUAGGUGGGAUCACGGAGCCAUGAAGGGCUGGACACAUGGAGCAUGGUGGUUAACGGGCUGAGCUGGGUUUUUUUUUUUUUUUUUUCUUGCCAACUUUACACAAGCUCAUGUCAUCUGGGAAGAGGGAACCUCAAUGAAGACAAAGCCUUCGUCAGACUGGUCUGCAGCCAAGUCUAUGGGACCACUCUCUUGAUUAAUACAUGACGCAGAAGGGCGCAGCCCACUGUAGAUAGAUAACAGACUGACCAAGCUAUGGGAGUAAACCACAAUACAAAUGAAUCCCUCCAUGAUCUCUGUAUUGGUUGUUGCUCUGGCUUCCUUCAAUGAUGGACACUAACACUCAAGUUCAAGUGAAAUGAACCCUCUCCUUCCCAAGUCACUGAGUCAUAAGUGUUUUAUCACAGCAACAGAAAACAAGCCAGGGCAGAGGCAGGCAGAUUUCUGAGUUCAAGGCCAGUCUGGUCUACAGAGUGAGUUCCAGGACAGCCAGGGCUACACAAAGAAACCCUGUCUGGAAAAACCAAAAAAAGAAAAAAAAAAAGAAAGAAAGAAAGAUCACACAGCCACAGUUGGGAUCCAACUAGCAAGCUAGCUCUGUCAGUUUUUGUUCUUUUGUUUUUGAAACAGGUUCCAAGUAGCCUAGGCUAGCCUCAAAUACGUUAUGUAACUUGAGGACAAUCCCAACUCCUGAUCCUUCUGCCUCCAUGAUCGAAUGCUAAAGUUACUAGUGUAUACCGGCUCAAUUCUCUUAGCUGCUCAACACACUGCUCUUUCCCCCUCCCCCCCCUUCUUUUCUCAGAAACAGGGUCUAUGUAGACAAGGCUGGCCUCAAACUCUUAAUC